rnacentral:ribozyme from 14 species
UUUUUUUUUUUUUUUUUUUUUUCCCACAUGAAAAUAGUUUUUCUAUAACUUUUUAUGCAAUCUUUGUCUACAAAAAUAUAACAGUGGGACGUAAUGUGAUCUGCCACAAAAUAUCCCUCUAGCACCGAAAAAAAAGGUCAAAAUCAAUCACGAUUUAAGGUCGACUCCGCCUUUUCAUUAUUACCUAGAGUAGAAAACAGACUAAAGUAUAUCAAUCAAAUUAUAUCAAAU